rnacentral:rRNA from 1 species
CGGGUGAGUAAUAUAUCGGAACGUGCCCUGUAGUGGGGGAUAACUAGUCGAAAGAUUAGCUAAUACCGCAUACGACCUGAGGGUGAAAGUGGGGGACCGCAAGGCCUCACGCUAUAGGAGCGGCCGAUAUCUGAUUAGCUAGUUGGUGGGGUAAAGGCCUACCAAGGCGACGAUCAGUAGCUGGUCUGAGAGGACGAUCAGCCACACUGGGACUGAGACACGGCCCAGACUCCUACGGGAGGCAGCAGUGGGGAAUUUUGGACAAUGGGGGAAAGCCUGAUCCAGCAAUGCCGCGUGUGUGAAGAAGGCCUUCGGGUUGUAAAGCACUUUUGUCCGGAAAGAAAUCCCUUGGGAUAAUACCUCGGGGGGAUGACGGUACCGGAAGAAUAAGGACCGGCUAACUACGUGCCAGCAGCCGCGGUAAUACGUAGGGUCCGAGCGUUAAUCGGAAUUACUGGGCGUAAAGCGUGCGCAGGCGGUUUUGUAAGACAGAUGUGAAAUCCCCGGGCUUAACCUGGGAAUUGCAUUUGUGACUGCNAGGCUAGAGUGUGUCAGAGGGGGGUAGAAUUCCACGUGUAG